rnacentral:rRNA from 1 species
AUUGAACGCUGGCGGCAUGCCUUACACAUGCAAGUCGAACGGCAGCACGGGAGCAAUCCUGGUGGCGAGUGGCGAACGGGUGAGUAAUAUAUCGGAACGUGCCCAGUCGUGGGGGAUAACGUAGCGAAAGCUACGCUAAUACCGCAUACGAUCUAUGGAUGAAAGCGGGGGAUCGCAAGACCUCGUGCGAUUGGAGCGGCCGAUAUCAGAUUAGGUAGUUGGUGAGGUAAAGGCUCACCAAGCCGACGAUCUGUAGCUGGUCUGAGAGGACGACCAGCCACACUGGGACUGAGACACGGCCCAGACUCCUACGGGAGGCAGCAGUGGGGAAUUUUGGACAAUGGGCGCAAGCCUGAUCCAGCAAUGCCGCGUGCAGGAUGAAGGCCU